rnacentral:lncRNA from 1 species
UAUCCACUCUGUUCAGAAUAUUCCCUUAUAGAAGAUUGACUUCAUUGGCCAUCAUCUUAGAGUCUGGGUAGUCUUCUUUGAUGAUAGCCAUCAGAAGCAAAGUCAAAGCUUCAAAGUAUAACACCAAAUGAGAACAUGGUCCUUUUUGCUGAUCUACUAUCCCCAGAAGAGGGAAUAGAAACCACAAAUCUGAUCCAUUUGCCAAUACCAGGGGUACUGAUAGGAGGAUCAAAUAAAAUUAUUUGAAAAGCAUGACCUAGAUGCUGAAAGCCAUCAGUAACUCCAUAAUCUUUCCUAGCCCUUUUCUGUUUUCACCUAGCUGCUCCAGUCUUGCCCAUCACAGACCAGGUUUACUCAUAGGAGAAGUGAAGGCAGACUGUUCCACUCUCCCACCAUCAAUAGGUAUACCAAUAACAACAGCUCCCUCUAUAGGUCUACUUGAACUGCCAACUCCAUGGGUGGGGCAAGUAGUACUCCCUGAAAAAAAAAAAAUUUUUUUGUCAUUCAUAAUGAGCCAAAAACCUGGAAGAAACAAAAUGGUCACCACCUGACUGAUUAUUCUCCAAUACUGAUGGAAGGCUAAACAUGAUAAAGUUUUACCUAUUGACUUGAAUGGAUUGUUCAGAACACUACAUCUUUUACUAUACUAAUGCUACUUAACUCUCAGCAUGAUUUCUUACCAUCUUACUUUGGGUAGAACCAGAGUUCCUAUAACCAAGGGAGAAAGUUCAGCUUAAACAUCCAAUCCCUGUUAUCCUCUCCAUAAUAAGGAUGCAGAAUUGGCAAUUUUUGGAGGAGUCCAUACUUAUACUAAACUGCUUAACUCAAGUUAUGACCAAAAUGAGAUAUAAAAAUAGCACUCUUUAGCAGUCACAUUAAUUAACAAACUUUUAUUCUUUGCAAACGUUUUCAGUGGAUUUACUACACCAUCAUCAGGCAAACAAAACAUUUUUUAAUAAAAAUGACAAAAGAACC